UAAUGGCAGAACUCCAUGGACAUGGAC
rnacentral:piRNA from 1 species